UGAACGCUGGCGGCGUGCCUAAUACAUGCAAGUCGAGCGAACAGAUGAGGAGCUUGCUCCUCUGACGUUAGCGGCGGACGGGUGAGUAACACGUGGAUAACCUACCUAUAAGACUGGGAUAACUUCGGGAAACCGGAGCUAAUACCGGAUAAUAUAUUGAACCGCAUGGUUCACUAGUGAAAGACGGUUUUGCUGUCACUUAUAGAUGGAUCCGCGCCGCAUUAGCUAGUUGGUAAGGUAACGGCUUACCAAGGCGACGAUGCGUAGCCGACCUGAGAGGGUGAUCGGCCACACUGGAACUGAGACACGGUCCAGACUCCUACGGGAGGCAGCAGUAGGGAAUCUUCCGCAAUGGGCGAAAGCCUGACGGAGCAACGCCGCGUGAGUGAUGAAGGUCUUCGGAUCGUAAAACUCUGUUAUUAGGGAAGAACAAAUGUGUAAGUAACUAUGCACGUCUUGACGGUACCUAAUCAGAAAGCCACGGCUAACUACGUG
rnacentral:rRNA from 1 species